UACGGGGGGGGCAAGCGUUGUUCGGAAUUACUGGGCGUAAAGGGCUCGUAGGCGGCCAACUAAGUCGGACGUGAAAUCCCUCGGCUCAACCGGGGAACUGCGUCCGAUACUGGAUGGCUUGAAUCCGGGAGAGGGAUGCGGAAUUCCAGGUGUAGCGGUGAAAUGCGUAGAUAUCUGGAGGAACACCCGUGGCGAAGGCGGCCAGCUGGGCCGUCCCUGACGCUGAGGCGCGAAGGCGUGGGGAGCGAACGGG
rnacentral:rRNA from 1 species